AAAUCAUGGAACAGAUCAUAGUGAUGUCCUUCAUAUGUGAUGAACCUUUUUUCACUUCCAAGAUGAAUGAAGAAACCCUAUCAGUGGACACCCCAAGCCGUUGUAUAGGUAAUUUGUCUGAAACAUCUGACCAAAAUGUCACAUAUUCACAUACUGCCAUUAUUUCACGAGGAAGGCUCAUUUUAUAUGAUGCUUUUGUCUGAGACUGUGUUGAAUUUCAUUUGCAAGUUGUUUAUUAUAAAGUUAUAAAGCUAUGUGAUAGCUUUAUGGCUCGUUUUAAAGAUGUGUAGGUAUUACUUGCUCUGUGUUGUAAUAGCAUGAAGGCCAGUUUUCAAAAGUGCUCCAAAUGCUUUGGAGUUUAAGUCCCUUUCACCUUAAAAACGUGGGUGCAAUUAAAACUUGCAGGUCUGGCCUAUUAAAAAUAUGUCAUUCAGCCUCUCUGUUGUUGAGAAUGGGGAGGGGAGUGCAUGGGUAUUCUGUGAUGCAGCCACUUUAAAAAUAUGUCUGAACCUAUCUAAGCAUAUCUUGCUUGUUAGUGUACCUUGUCCUUUUGAACUACUGGAAGGAGUUCACUGUAUGAAGGAGGAAUUGGCUAUUCUAAAAAGGACAGCUGGAAAGCAAGACAUCCAGUGAGCUUAUGGCAAGCUGUGGAAUGCUAUAUUUCAUGAAUAUCUCUUUUCAUUUAUUUUUUUGUUCCAUGAUUUUAAAUACAAUGGUGACGGGAAAAUGCUACAUUUCAUGAAUUUUUGCUUUAUCUUUUUUUGUGUGUGUGUGUUUCUGAGGCUUUAAAUACAGUGUUGACUGGGAAAGGGAAGUUGCACUGAGAAAGAUUUUGCUCUUCAAACUGUACGUGCCAAGGUUUGCCCCCAAGGUACGGUCUGGCUCAGCACACUAGCUCCUGUCAAGAAGUCAAACAUUGCUCUGGAAAACAAACUUGUCUUCAUGCGGAUGAAGAUGCUAUUUAAUGCGAUGCUGUUUAACUGGGCACCCUGCAUGGAAACUGGAGCUCUGUUGUUAGCCCCAUUUCACAGGCAAGGAAACUGUAUCUAAAUGAUACCUCAAAACUGUGGCAAAGCUGAGAAUAGAAUCCAAGUUUAAUUCCAUAGAUACUCAGCUUUCUGGGCUUUGAAAAGAGCUGUCGUACUAUAAGGAAGUACUUCAGCAUCCUUUUCAUUUGAAGAUGUUUCCAAACAUUUUUCCUUAUAUUUGCCUCUCAAAAGUGUUGUUUCACAUUCGUGUUCCUGUUCCAUCAAGUUUCUUUCCUUUUCUCAGCUGCAAUCAUUAACAGCUGGUGAGUAAAUUAAUAAUGGGUAAAAAGUAUAGCUGGUUGAGCAUUUCUGUUCUUGUGACUGGGGGAAAAUGCUCCAAGAAAAAUGCACUGAUAUUUUCAAACCACAGUGCUGUUGUGUUUGUGUGCUUUUUUCCUGAAUACCAAGCUGGUUGAUGAGCCUCAGCACUCUUGAUUUAGACCAAGGGUUAGGCUCC